AACCAGCCUGAUGGGUAAAAAUAGUGUAAUUCAGUCAAUUGCAGCUGGGCUCAAAUGUACAGGACGUUUAUUGAAUUUUAUGUGUUGAGAACAAUAAUAAGAUUUGGGCAAGUAAAAAAAAAACAGAUUUUUGUGGCUGCAAAAGAAAAUCUGUAGUAUUAGUAAAAAAUAAAAAAAAGUUGGAAAAGACAUUAGCAGGCUACUACCUUCUUUGUGUGUAAAAUAAGCUUAUGGGACCUGAUAAUGACCUUCGGAUUAGUACUGACAGUUUUAGCUUUUAAAUGAUUCCCAAUGUCGACUGUUUGUACAUUAAAGAGGUUUAUACCUAGUUGAAACUCUAUCGUGCGUUCAUGGAUUUGUAUUAAAUAUAACUGUUAAUCCCUCACGUUUUCAUUAAUUAUUGAUUAAAGAAAUAAGUGGUUACAUUAGCUGGAGUCAAACCCACUGAAUUAGAUUAUAUUCCUUCACAUUUUCUCAACUCAAUCAGCUUGGUGUUCAAGUGGAAACAGUUCACUGCGCAUGCACAGAAGGCUGUGCAAGAUGAAUGAAUGGAUUAUCCCUUUAAAUUGUCGCUGUGAUGUUUAGGCCUCCAUGUUCCUUUCCUGACUCACCUUCAACAACAAAACCCAAGAAAAGGAUCGACAAGAUUAACCAUUAACCUUACAUCCGUUUGUGUUUUAAUUCAUUCAAUCAUGGCUCGUUACAUGUCAUGUGCUGAGAAAGAGAAGCUGCCACCUCACUGACUGUGUGCGUCACCAGCAGACACGAUUACAGCCUGAAUUUAAUGUCAGUGGCUCCACCAGAGCAGAAGCAGGCAGCUUGCUCCGGCUGUCCGAUGCAGCAGCAGCAGCCUUACCCCGCCUCUACCUCGCAUCAUCCCCGACAGGUGUCAAUUUGAGGAGGAGAAGAAGAAGAAGAGGCUGGUUUAGUUACCGCUGAAGACCAUGGCCGCAGAGGCUCCCAUCACGGCGAAGAAAGGUGAGUACUCGGGGCUCUCCUCAGAAGACAUUGUCACUCUUCCCUUCGGACGACAAAGCUAGACGGCACAAUAUCCUCUCUUUCUUUGGCGGGGGGUUCCCCUGUCCCACCGUCACCUCUGGGCAGCUUAAAACUCCGCGAAACAGCGAGGACGACCAGCGACGGCUCAAGUGGAGAAGAGGAAAA